rnacentral:rRNA from 1 species
UACAGAGGUCCCAAGCGUUGUUCGGAUUCACUGGGCGUAAAGGGUGCGUAGGUGGUGAGGUAAGUUUGAUGUGAAAUCUCCGGGCUUAACCCGGAAAUGGCAUUGAAUACUAUCUUGCUAGAGGAGUGGAGGGGGGACUGGAAUACUUGGUGUAGCAGUGAAAUGCGCAGAUAUCAGGAGGAACACCGAUGGCGAAGGCAGAUCUCUGGGCCGUAACUGACGCUGGAGGAGCGAAAGCAUGGGGAGCGAACAGG